rnacentral:lncRNA from 1 species
UGAAGGGCAGUUUUAGUAUGAGGUGAAUGUGUGAAUUGUGGGAAGAAGGGGUAGAUGGAAAGGAAUGCCAGAAAGAAUAGGGAGGCAUAUGAAAUUCAAAAUGUGAUAUUAAGGUGGUUGGGUUCACUUAUACAAAAUAUUCCUGAUGGAAUAAGCAUCUGAGAGUGAAGAGGCAGAACUUCAGUCUAUUAGAAGACCUAUUGUAUUGAUGUAAGUAAGCACUUAAGGAUACAGGACAAAGUGUAUUUAUUCAGAAUAUACAAAUAAUUCACUAAAAAUUAUUUCUAGGGGCUAGGGUUGUAGCUUAGUGGUUAAGCAUUUGCCUCGAAUGUGUGAGGCUCUGGGUUUGAUCCUCAGCACCACAUUAAAUGAAUGAAUGAAUGAACAAAACAAAAAAUAUGAAAUGUUUCUAAAGACCACAUAUUCAAUAUAAAAAUGAGCAAACAGGCAGAUAACAGAACAGAAACCCUACUGAACAGUGAGCAUGUUGAAAGCUGCUUCUAAAAAUAUUAAGUAGGUGACAUACAGUAAGUAAUACCUUACUAAUAAUCAAGGGAAUGCACAUGUGUGUUUAAUAAGAGUAACAUAACAUUCAAUGCCCACUGAGUUGUUAAACAACAUUGUCCAUUAUAAUAAUAAAUGAAUAAAUUUGCUCAAACAACACUUGAUUCAGUAUAUACUUAGAAUUGAAACUGGAAUGUUCAAAAUUGAAACUGGAAUGUUUUGAAUUAUCUUACGCACUUAUCCUGAUAAAAAUACAUUGAUGUGACCUUUUUACACAGAAUAAGAGAGUAAAAUAAUCCCUAUUGUGAAGAAAGCUUAAUUUUGGUUAUUGAUAUUAAAGGAUAUUAUUUUUCUUUAAUGAGCAAGCAAUAAACAUUGAAGUAGUUUAGCUUUUAACAUUGAGAUUAAAUUUUGUACAUGUAAAUAAAUUGCGAUUUAUGAGCUGCAUAUUUUGGAGUUGUGGGUUCUAGUUAUUGUGUAAUGGCUUAUUGUAACUAUUCUUUCAGCAUGUAAUAAUUAGAGCAGAAUUCUGUUUUUCAAAGCAAAUCAUGUCAAUUUAAUUUAUAAUUUCUUUAACAACAAAUAUUAAUUCUGUAUUUUGGCAAGAAUACCUUCUAAAUGAGCCUAGGAAGGCCCAUAACAAAUUUGCCAUUUUCUCCUCUCCCAAAAUGUAAACGGGCUGGGAAUGUGCUCACAUGAUAAAAUGCUUUCCUAGAGGGCACUAGGCCCUGGGUUCAAUUCCC